GACGUAGGGCGCGAGCGUUGUCCGGAUUUAUUGGGCGUAAAGAGCUCGUAGGCGGCUUGUCGCGUCGACUGUGAAAACUCGGGGCUCAACUCCGAGCUUGCAGUCGAUACGGGCAGGCUAGAGUUCGGUAGGGGAGACUGGAAUUCCUGGUGUAGCGGUGAAAUGCGCAGAUAUCAGGAAGAACACCCGUGGCGAAGGCGGCUCUCUGGGACGGUACUGACGCUGAGACGCGAAAGCGUGGGGAGCGAACAGG
rnacentral:rRNA from 1 species